CUCGAGGGACACGCAUGAAGGAAGGAAGGAGCGGGAAGCCGACAGUACAGUUCUUGACUCUAUGACCCAUACGCAGCUCACGAACUGAAAGCAGAAGACAGGAGAGCGUCAGCUGGAGUCCUGCUGGCUCUGCUGGGCUGGGUGGGGGCUGCAGUGAGAAGAAAGGAGGAAAAGGAGAAACAAGAUAUGAGCAAGAAAGGAGGAAGAGAA